GGAUUGUAGCUCAGUGGUAGAGCACUUGCCUAGCAUGUAUGAGGUCCUGGGUUUGAUCUCCAGCACCA
rnacentral:tRNA from 1 species